CCAUGGACGAAGGGAUUCAGCUUCAUCUAUCUACAUUAUGGUAGUAGAAUUAUCAUGCUCUACUUAUUUGGUAGUAAUUUAGAUGUCGAUGAUCUCCGAGCCUGUUCGAGUUACAUCAGUACUCUAUAAAAUAAUGACAAUUAUCGUCGUAUUGGAUUAACUUAAUCAUGAUGGAAAAAGGGAUUAUGCAUAACUUAUCAAUAUUGUCCCAGAUGGAAUUGAAUACUCAACAUUUUUAGUAAUUGUCUGUUAUUUGACUAGAUUCUUUUGAAGGAUGACUUAUCGAAUACUUUCUAAUAUCUCCUAAAAAAUAACUUUUAUCAGCUCUUCUAUCAAAAAAAUAUUCAUAUGUCUAUAAAAUUGUAUAUGAGGAAGUUUAUUUAAUUUAUGAACAAUGGACAAAUGAAAUGGAAUGCGAAAAAAGUCGUAAAAUUCCUUGAUUUUAUAUUUGUUCACCACUUUCAUGGAUUCUGGAUGAAAUAUUAAAAAUGGGUAUAUAAAUAUCUAAAUCACAAUGAGUGGUAUUCAAAUAUUUGAAAUGUUUAUAAGUUUAUGUCUCAUUUAAUAUAUUACAUAUAUGCAGAAGAUUUGUGAACUACAUCAGGCGUCUCCAAAGAAGGAGGGAACGUUGUUAAUGGUUCGUAAUUUCAAAUCUUUUCAAAUCUGUUUAAACGUUUAUUUUGUAAUAACGAAGAACAAUCUUAAUGUAGGAAUGAAUUCAGCUUGACCUAUCUAUAUGGUUGUGAAACGAAUCUCACAUUCUACAUGUUUAGAGAUAUCAUGGACAUUGAUCAUUCCCAGACCUUUAUAAAUUUCAUCAACACUAUCUGAAUAAUGAUAAUUCUUGUCGUUAUGAAAUAAUUUAAUCACCAUCGACGAUGUGAUUCAGUUUCUUCCGCCUAUAUAGUUGGGAAAGGAAUCUCAUCUUCUUCAAUGGAUUCAUCUUCACCUAUCGAUGUGGUGGGAAUAGGAAUCUCAUACUCUACUUAUUUAGAGUUAUCUUAGAUGUCACUCAUUUGCGAGCUUGUCCAAGUUACAUCAACACUCUCUGAAUGACAAUUCUCGUCGUACUGGUCGUAUUGGACGAUGGGAUUAAACAUAAUUCAUCUAUACGGUCAUAUUUUGAAUUGCAUAUUCUACAUUUUUAAUAAUGUCCUAGAUGUCUAUCAUCUCCGGAUCUGCCAAAACUAUCAACAUUAUUUCAAUGAAGACAACUCUUAUAUUACUGACAAAAGGGAUUAAGCAGGUUACAUUUAUAUGUUCGUAGAUUGAAUCGCAUAUUCUACAUAUUUAAUGAUAUAGUUGAUGUUGAUCAUCUCCAGACCUGUCAUGGAUAUAUGUAUCUUAUAUUCUGGUUAUAUUCAAUUUAGAUUUAAUGUUGUUAUUAUUUGAAUGUUUUUUCUCUUGGAAGUUUUAUUAUUUCUAUUUCAUUUUGAAAUUUAUCCAUUUCUUUGGACCUAUUUUAUUAUUUAACUAAUA
rnacentral:lncRNA from 1 species